AUUGAACGCUGGCGGCAGGCCUAACACAUGCAAGUCGAGCGGAUGAAGGGAGCUUGCUCCUGGAUUCAGCGGCGGACGGGUGAGUAAUGCCUAGGAAUCUGCCUGGUAGUGGGGGACAACGUUUCGAAAGGAACGCUAAUACCGCAUACGUCCUACGGGAGAAAGCAGGGGACCUUCGGGCCUUGCGCUAUCAGAUGAGCCUAGGUCGGAUUAGCUAGUUGGUGAGGUAAUGGCUAACCAAGGCGACGAUCCGUAACUGGUCUGAGAGGAUGAUCAGUCACACUGGAACUGAGACACGGUCCAGACUCCUACGGGAGGCAGCAGUGGGGAAUAUUGGACAAUGGGCGAAAGCCUGAUCCAGCCAUGCCGCGUGUGUGAAGAAGGUCUUCGGAUUGUAAAGCACUUUAAGUUGGGAGGAAGGGCAGUAAGUUAAUACCUUGCUGUUUUGACGUUACCGACAGAAUAAGCACCGGCUAACUUCGUGCCAGCCGCCGCCGUAAGAC
rnacentral:rRNA from 1 species